AAGCAUACGAUGAAUUUACUCGAAUUCCACUUCAAGAAAUCAUUGAUGAUGCAGAUUCGAGUUUUCUGAUGCA